rnacentral:rRNA from 1 species
GUGGGGGACAACGUUCCGAAAGGAGCGCUAAUACCGCAUACGUCCUACGGGAGAAAGCAGGGGACCUUUGGGCCUUGCGCUAAUAGAUGAGCCUAAGUCGGAUUAGCUAGUUGGUAGGGUAAAGGCCUACCAAGGCGACGAUCUGUAGCGGGUCUGAGAGGAUGAUCCGCCACACUGGGACUGAGACACGGCCCAGACUCCUACGGGAGGCAGCAGUGGGGAAUAUUGGACAAUGGGGGGAACCCUGAUCCAGCCAUGCCGCGUGUGUGAAGAAGGCCUUUUGGUUGUAAAGCACUUUAAGCGAGGAGGAGGCUACCUAGAUUAAUACUUUAGGAUAGUGGACGUUACUCGCAGAAUAAGCACCGGCUAACUCUGUGCCAGCAGCCGCGGUAAUACAGAGGGUGCGAGCGUUAAUCGGAUUUACUGGGCGUAAAGCGUGCGUAGGCGGCCAAUUAAGUCAAAUGUGAAAUCCCCGAGCUUAACUUGGGAAUUGCAUUCGAUACUGGUUGGCUAGAGUAUGGGAGAGGAUGGUAGAAUUCCAGGUGUAGCGGUGAAAUGCGUAGAGAUCUGGAGGAAUACCGAUGGCGAAGGCAGCCAUCUGGCCUAAUACUGACGCUGAGGUACGAAAGCAUGGGGAGCAAACAGGAUUAGAUACCCUGGUAGUCCAUGCCGUAAACGAUGUCUACUA